AGCAGACCAGUUUGAUGAAGCAGCCACUUCCACGAGCAAAGAGGAGGUCAUUCAAGCUGACUGGAAUCCACCAUAGUGGUCCCUUAUGGCUUCUGGUGGUGGUGGGUGUUCACUGGAUGGUAUCUACUCCCUUAUGCUUCAUCCAUAGUCAACAGCCAGAGAGGCAUAACAAAUGUGAUUCAUCUCUGCUUAAAAUAAACGUCUCAAGUAGGUGGGCUUCAUCUCCAGUAACUACCACUUCAACUGUGAAAGAAGAGGGGAGGGGAAAAAAAAUCAAUCCAAAGCUGAUGAAAAAGCAUAAACCCAUCCAUAAAAGGGGAUUUAUAAGGGUUUUUCUCUCCUCCCAGAGCAAACUGAAAUGGAAAAUUAGGCUGUGCUUUAUAUCAUUCUCUCUUUCUGGCUGUGU